AUCAGCCUCAGUGCCCAGCUCCUCCAGCCAAAUAAAACACAAAAGAAGAAUCUAAAUUCAUGACCAAGUAUCAAAUAUUUAUUGAGACACUUAAUGUGUUUGUAGCUUACUUGUCUCCAUCACUUUAGAACUUCCAUUUCGUAUUUUAUAAAUUAAACAACUUUUCUAGCUUUACUUCACAUAAAGAGUGAUUUUAAGGUGAUGUGGCAUAUUACUGCCCCUUCCUUCAGGACUUACUGUCAACUGAAUCAUGUCAGUACCAGCUCCAUCAGCUGCUGGGACUCCUUCCAUCUGCAGGACAUCCCCAGCCACCAUGCUGACAAGAGAGCUGACAACAUCAGUGGUCAGUAUCUGCUGAAAUAUCACCCCCAGAGCUGGUAGCCAGUAGAUAAAUGCAGGAAAGCAAUAACUGCCGUAGCAAGGAGGAAGUGGCCCAUGUAUUUUCACAUUAGUAGUCCAGUGCUAUUAACCAUGUUGGAGCGGGUGCAGCUAACACCUCCUGUGCAACUCUUUACAGCUGUGACAGUUUAUUAAGCUCUUUUGGGUUAUGUUCAGUGGUGUCCAGCACAAAGAAAUCAGCAUCUGCACAAACUGUGGGAUCCUCACUGAUCAGUUUGAAGCGAAGCUCUCGUCGAUCACAACACAUGCCCUUCCUCUGUGAAAAUUAGACAAAGGAGAUCAAAUCCAAUGCCUGAAAAGAAAGCUCUGCACCUCUAGACUGUUCUGGACCAAACCUUUCAGAGCAACGAGUUCCAUCCCACACCCUUCAUCCUGUGUGCCCAUGUCUGUCCAUAUCUGCUAGUCCCAGGAAGGUGGACUGUGGACCACCACUCUUCGUUACAACAGAUUAUAAUUACUUAUCAUGCCAGUAUGCUCACUGGUAUCAUUAGAAAACAAGACAUCUGAGGUUUUUUACAUGUAGACAAAAAUAUAACGUUCUUUGAGAGCUACAGCACUCUGAAUUGUGCAUAACACUGACAUUUCCUAAAAGUACUAUUUCGCAGCUGGACCAUGAAAAUCUCCUCAAACUAGAAGCAAUAAACCAAAAUGGGAGGUACAAUGGUUCAAAAUAAUCACUGACUAAGGAACAGAUAAGAUCAUGUUUGGAAAUCUUUAGUAAAUACCAGAUUUGCUUACGAAACUCACAUCCAAACAUGUGGAAAUAAUCAAUACAUUUUCAGAAUCACAAGUUAUUACUUUUAAAAUGAAC
ensembl:lncRNA